GAUGAAGAACGUAGCGAAAUGCGAUAAGUAGUGUGAAUUGCAGAAUUCAGUGAAUCAUCGAAUCUUUGAACGCACAUUGCGCCCCUUGGUAUUCCAUGGGGCAUGCCUGUUCGAGCGUCAUUUGUACCUUCAAGCUUUGCUUGGUGUUGGGUGUUUGUCCAUUCUCUUGCAGAGGGACUCGCCUUAAAGUAAUUGGCAGCCAGUGUUUUGGUUUUGAAGCGCAGCACAAGUCGCGAUUCAAAGCUAUACGCCCGCUUCCACAAGCCUUUUUCACUUUUGACCUCGGAUCAGGUAGGAAUACCCGCUGAACUUAAGCAUAUCAAUAAGCGGAGGA
rnacentral:misc_RNA from 1 species